rnacentral:rRNA from 1 species
GGGGAAUUUUCCGCAAUGGGCGAANGCCUGACGGAGCAAUACCGCGUGAGGGAUGACGGCCUAUGGGUUGUAAACCUCUUUUUUCAGGGGAGGAAUCAAAUGACGUGUACCUGAAGAAUAAGCAUCGGCUAACUCCGUGCCAGCAGCCGCGGUAAGACGGAGGAUGCAAGUGUUAUCCGGAAUCACUGGGCGUAAAGCGUCUGUAGGUGGUCCAAUAAGUCAACUGUUAAAUCUUGAGGCUCAACCUCAAAACCGCGGUCGAAACUAUUAGACUAGAGUAUAGUAGGGGUAGAGGGAAUUUCCAGUGGAGCGGUGAAAUGCGUAGAGAUUGGAAAGAACACCGAUGGCGAAGGCACUUUACUGGGCUAUUACUAACACUGAGAGACGAAAGCUAGGGUAGCAAAUGGGAUUAGAUACCCCAGUAGUC